GGCCAGGAGGCUAGCAAUAGUGAGAGGAAGCCUGUAAUCCCCCUUCCUGAAGGGAGGAGGAAGAGGAAAGAGUCCAGGGUGAGAGCAGUAAGCGGUGUCAAUACGCACCCCAACUGUUCACUACAGGGCCCUGGACUGGAAUGCAGAGUAGAAGGUGGGUGUGGGUUCCCCUACCAACCACUGCCGAGUGGCACUGUUGAGGGCAGUGAAUUGGAAGACUGCCUGAAUCACUGGAUCAGUGACAGCAUCACUGCAGUGGCCGUGAAGAUGACCUGCUGCCAUAUGGACAGAAGAGACAUUGAAAGACAACUCCAGAAGAGGGAAAUGCUCAGUGAUCUGGCUUGAGGACUGAGUCACAAAGAGGCUGGAGUGAAAGAGAGAGAGUGCACAGCUGCAGGAAGGGGUGUUGACCAGGUGGAGCUAAUUCUCAGAACAGCCAGGCAGAGGCACCAUCCUGUGGACACCAUAAGGCAACUGGAAUUUUCCCUUAUCUAUUGAAUCUCGCUUACAAGGAUUAAUGAACAGGAGAUGGGAGUUUGUGCUACAGAAACUGAAUCUGUCCAGAGGAACUAAACAAGAGAGAAUGCUGCGUCUAAAAGGAAUGUGUGGAAUACAAGAAAAGCUGAAGCUAAUUAUUACUUUACAUAGCUCCUGUCAUAUUUCAGCUCUCCAGUCUUUAUACUCUAUCUGUGGCUUCCGAAUUGCUCCAGGCUCUUUUCUCACAUUUGAUUAAGGCAUCACACGAUGUCCUGACACUGAUAUGGCAGCUGCCCCCAGGCAAUUUAAAACAAAACAUAAAGGUGCAAGUGCACCUGCACAUACACACACAGGGAUUGCACUGACACCUUAGAGCUGGUCUUCUUGAAAGGGAUGACAGAUGUCCAGUGAUGCUAGGUCUCUGGCUGAGCCCUGAAGAACACUACU